AGUUUGAUCCUGGCUCAGGACGAACGCUGGCGGCGCGCCUAACACAUGCAAGUCGAACGAGCGAGAGAGAGCUUGCUUCUCUCGAGGGUGGCAGGGGGAUAACGGUGAGACUCUCUAAAAGGGGGCAACAGUGGAACGUUCUUAACCCCCUAACCCCGGGGUCGCCUCGCCAAGAGAAAAGGACCAUCCCUUUGAGAGGCUUCGGUCCGAUUACUUAGUGGGGAGGUAAGGCCCACCAAGGCCACGAUCGGUACCCGGAUUGAAGGUUAAACGCCCACUUGGGAUUGAACCCGCCCCAACUCCUAGGGGAGCAGCAGUGGGAAUUUUGCACAAUGGGGAAACCCUGAUGCAAGGACCCCGCGUGGAAGAAGAAGGUCUUCGGAUUGUAAACUCCUGUUGUUGGGGAAGAUAAUGACGGUACCCAACAAGGAAGUGACGGCUAACUACGUGCCAGCAGCCGCGGUAAAACGUAGGUCACAAGCGUUGUCCGGAAUUACUGGGUGUAAAGGGAGCGCAGGCGGGAAGACAAGUUGGAAGUGAAAUCUAUGGGCUCAACCCAUAAACUGCUUUCAAAACUGUUUUUCUUGAGUAGUGCAGAGGUAGGCGGAAUUCCCGGUGUAGCGGUGGAAUGCGUAGAUAUCGGGAGGAACACCAGUGGCGAAGGCGGCCUACUGGGCACCAACUGACGCUGAGGCUCGAAAGUGUGGGUAGCAAACAGGAUUAGAUACCCUGGUAGUCCACACCGUAAACGAUGAUUACUAGGUGUUGGAGGAUUGACCCCUUCAGUGCCGCAGUUAACACAAUAAGUAAUCCACCUGGGGAGUACGACCGCAAGGUUGAAACUCAAAGGAAUUGACGGGGGCCCGCACAAGCAGUGGAGUAUGUGGUUUAAUUCGACGCAACGCGAAGAACCUUACCAAGUCUUGACAUCCCUUGACAGACAUAGAAAUAUGUAUUCUCUUCGGAGCAAGGAGACAGGUGGUGCAUGGUUGUCGUCAGCUCGUGUCGUGAGAUGUUGGGUUAAGUCCCGCAACGAGCGCAACCCUUAUGGUCAGUUACUACGCAAGAGGACUCUGGUCAGACUGCCGUUGACAAAACGGAGGAAGGUGGGGAUGACGUCAAAUCAUCAUGCCCUUUAUGACUUGGGCUACACACGUACUACAAUGGCGUUAAACAAAGAGAAGCGAGACCGCGAGGUGGAGCAAAACUCAGAAACAACGUCCCAGUUCGGACUGCAGGCUGCAACUCGCCUGCACGAAGUCGGAAUUGCUAGUAAUCGUGGAUCAGCAUGCCACGGUGAAUACGUUCCCGGGCCUUGUACACACCGCCCGUC
rnacentral:rRNA from 1 species